AUGUCAAUGUGCACGCCAAUGA
rnacentral:snRNA from 1 species